UACGGAGAGUUUGAUCCUGGCUCAGGACGAACGCUGGCGGCGUGCUUAACACAUGCAAGUCGAACGAUGAAGCCCAGCUUGCUGGGUGGAUUAGUGGCGAACGGGUGAGUAACACGUGAGUAACCUGCCCUUAACUCUGGGAUAAGCCUGGGAAACUGGGUCUAAUACCGGAUAGGAGCGUCCACCGCAUGGUGGGUGUUGGAAAGAUUUAUCGGUUUUGGAUGGACUCGCGGCCUAUCAGCUUGUUGGUGAGGUAAUGGCUCACCAAGGCGACGACGGGUAGCCGGCCUGAGAGGGUGACCGGCCACAUUGGGACUGAGAUACGGCCCAGACUCCUACGGGAGGCAGCAGUGGGGAAU
rnacentral:rRNA from 1 species